ACGAACGUUGGCGGCGUGCCUAACACAUGCAAGUAGAACGUGGCUUUAGUUUACUAAAGUCUAGUUGCGGACGGCUGAGUAAUGGACAGGAAUGUACCUCGAAGUGGGGGAUAGCUCGUCGAAAGACGGGGUAAUACCGCAUACGGUCGCAAGACCAAAGCAGCAAUGCGCUUUGAGAGCAGCCUGUUUCCUAUCAGGUAGUUGGUGGGGUAAUGGCCUACCAAGCCUAUGACGGGUAGCUGGUCUGAGAGGAUGAUCAGCCAGAUCGGGACUGAGACACGGCCCGAACUCCUACGGGAGGCAGCAGUUGGGAAUUUUGCACAAUGGACGAAAGUCUGAUGCAGCGACGCCGCGUGGAGGAUGAAGGUCUUCGGAUUGUAAACUCCUUUUGCGAGGGAGUAAUUUGUGAACGUACCUCGCGAAUAAGCACCGGCUAACUCCGUGCCAGCAGCCGCGGUAAUACGGAGGGUGCAAACGUUGUCCGGAAUCACUGGGCGUAAAGCGCAUGUAGGUGGUUUGGCAAGUGAGCGAUUAAAGACUGACGCCUAACGUCAGCAAGGUUGCUCAUACUACCAAACUGGAGUAUGGCAGGGGUAAGCGGAACUUUAGGUGUAGGAGUGAAAUCCGUAGAUAUCUAAAGGAACACCAAUGGCGAAGGCAGCUUACUGGGCCAUUACUGACACUGAGAUGCGAAAGUGUGGGGAGCAAACGGGAUUAGAUACCCCGGUAGUCCACACUGUAAACGUUGCUCACUAGGUCUUGGAGGGUAUCGACCCCCUUUUGGACCGAAGCUAACGCGUUAAGUGAGCCGCCUGGGGAGUACGAACGCAAGUUUAAAACUCAAAGGAAUUGACGGGGACCCGCACAAGCGGUGGAGCGUGUGGUUUAAUUCGACACUAAGCGAAGAACCUUACCAAGAUUUGACAUCUCUGGAAGGCUCUGGAAACAGAGCUGUGCCGCAAGGAACCAGAAGACAGGUGCUGCACGGUUGUCGUCAGCUCGUGCUGUGAAGUGUCCCGUUCAGUCGGUCAACGAGCGCAACCCUCAUCCUGUGUUAAAUUUUUCACAGGGAACUGCCUCAGUUAAUGGGGAGGAAGGUGAGGAUGACGUCAAAUCAGCGUGGCCCUUACAUCUUGGGCGACACACGCGCUACAAUGGGAAGUAACAAUGGGUUGCCAAGCCGCGAGGCGGAGCUAAUCCUAUCAAACCUUCCCUCAGUUCGGAUUGGAGGCUGCAACUCGCCUCCAUGAAGUCGGAAUCGCUAGUAAUGGCAGAUCAGCACGCUGCCGUGAAUACGUUCCCGGGCCUUGUACACACCGCCCGUCACAUCACGAAAGUGGAUUGUACUAGAAGUCUGCAGGCUGACCCGCAAGGGAGGCAGCGGCCCAAGGUAUGAUC
rnacentral:rRNA from 1 species